CCUACGGGUGGCAGCAGUGAGGAAUAUUGGUCAAUGGACGCGAGCCUGAACCAGCCAAGUAGCGUGAAGGAUGACUGCUCUAUGGGUUGUAAACUUCUUUUAUAAGGGAAUAAAGCGAGGCACGUGUGCCUCUUUGCAUGUACUUUAUGAAUAAGGAUCGGCUAACUCCGUGCCAGCAGCCGCGGUAAUACGGAGGAUCCGAGCGUUAUCCGGAUUUAUUGGGUUUAAAGGGGGCGUAGACGGGUUGUUAAGUCAGUUGUGAAAGUUUGCGGCUCAACCGUAAAAUUGCAAUUGAUACUGGGAGUCUUGAGUACAUUUGAGGCAGGCGGAAUGCGUGGUGUAGCGGUGAAAUGCUUAGAUAUCACGAAGAACCCCGAUUGCGAAGGCAGCUUACUAAGCUGUGACUGACGUUGAUGCACGAAAGUGUGGGGAUCGAACAGGAUUAGAUACCCUAGUAGUC
rnacentral:rRNA from 1 species